GAUGAACGCUGGCGGCGUGCUUAACACAUGCAAGUCGAACGGGAAAUAUUUCAUUGAGACUUCGGUGGAUUUGAUCUAUUUCUAGUGGCGGACGGGUGAGUAACGCGUGGGUAACCUGCCUUAUACAGGGGGAUAACAGUCAGAAAUGGCUGCUAAUACCGCAUAAGCGCACAGAGCUGCAUGGCUCAGUGUGAAAAACUCCGGUGGUAUAAGAUGGACCCGCGUUGGAUUAGCUAGUUGGUGGGGUAACGGCCCACCAAGGCGACGAUCCAUAGCCGGCCUGAGAGGGUGAACGGCCACAUUGGGACUGAGACACGGCCCAGAUUCCUACGGGAGGCAGCAGUGGGGAAUAUUGCACAAUGGGGGAAACCCUGAUGCAGCGACGCCGCGUGAAGGAAGAGGUAUCUCGGUAUGUAAACUUCUAUCAGCAGGGAAGAUAGUGACGGUACCUGACUAAGAAGCCCCGGCUAACUACGUGCCAGCAGCCGCGGUAAUACGUAGGGGGCAAGCGUUAUCCGGAUUUACUGGGUGUAAAGGGAGCGUAGACGGUGUGGCAAGUCUGAUGUGAAAGGCAUGGGCUCAACCUGUGGACUGCAUUGGAAACUGUCAUACUUGAGUGCCGGAGGGGUAAGCGGAAUUCCUAGUGUAGCGGUGAAAUGCGUAGAUAUUAGGAGGAACACCAGUGGCGAAGGCGGCUUACUGGACGGUAACUGACGUUGAGGCUCGAAAGCGUGGGGAGCAAACAGGAUUAGAUACCCUGGUAGUCCACGCCGUAAACGA
rnacentral:rRNA from 1 species